GGGGAUGUUCUGGCUUCGACGCUGGUAAUGAAACUCAAUGAUGCAUGUCGAGUGAGUAUGUCCACUCGUAAAUAAAAUAUAUAUUUUAAACUAGUCGCAAACGACGAAACUUACGCUCUAGCAGCCUAAGGGCUGCUUGGGACGGCACAGAUUGCCAUUGGUCUGGUUGCUCUCCUUGAAGCGAACGCACGAUGGAUAGCUUAAAUUGUUGUCUCGCCAAUUUGAGCAAAACUUAAGAGGCUCGUGGUUGGCAUCCUGACUGUCGGUUCGCCAACCAUUAAAGCCAUAGACAGAAUCUAAACAUGUAGAGUCAUGGGCGUAGUGCUGGCGGACGCGGGUUCAACUCCCGCCAUCUCCACCA
rfam:Enhydrobacter aerosaccus strain CGMCC9176 contig_1, whole genome shotgun sequence.